CCUACGGGUGGCAGCAGUGAGGAAUAUUGCUCAAUGGGCGUAAGCCUGACCCAGCCAAGUCGCGUGAGGGAUGAAGGUUCUAUGGAUCGUAAACCUCUUUUAUAAGGGAAUAAAGUGCGGGACGUGUCCCGUUUUGUAUGUACCUUAUGAAUAAGGAUCGGCUAACUCCGUGCCAGCAGCCGCGGUAAUACGGAGGAUCCGAGCGUUAUCCGGAUUUGUUGGGUUUAAAGGGUGCGUAGGCGGCCUUUUAAGUCAGCGGUGAAAGUCCGUGGCUCAACCAUAGAAUUGCCGUUGAAACUGGGAGGCUUGAGUAUGUUUGAGGAAGGCGGAAUGCGGGGUGUAGAGGUGAAAUGCUUAGAUAUCACGCAGAACCCCGAUUGCGAAGGCAGCCUGCUAAGCCAUGACUGACGCUGAUGCACGAAAGCGUGGGGAGCAAACAGGAUUAGAUACCCCAGUAGUC
rnacentral:rRNA from 1 species